rnacentral:tRNA from 1 species
CCUUCGAUAGCUCAGUUGGUAGAGCGGUGGACUGUAGUUGGAGAAUGAUUGAUAUCCAUAGGUCGCUGGUUCAAAUCCGGCUCGAAGGA